UUGUCCCUGUUUUUGUCCCCGUUUCAUCCCCAUUAUCCCCAUUUCGUCCCCAAUGUCCCCGUUUUGUCCCCAUUGUCCCCAUUUCAUCCCUGUUUUCUCCCCAUUUCAUCCCCAUUAUCCCCAUUCUCUCCCCGUUGUCUCGCCAUUAUCCCCAUUUUCUCCCCAUUAUCCCCAUUUUCUCCCUGCUUUGUCCUCAUUAUCCCCAUUAUGUCCCCAUUUCAUCCCCAUUUUCUCCCCAGUUCAUCCCCAUUAUUCCCGUUUUCUCCCCAUUAUCCCCAUUUUCUCCCCAUUAUCCCCAUUUUCUCUGUUUUUUCCCUAUUUUCUCCCCAUUAUCCCCAUUUUCUCUCAGUUUUUUCCCCAUUUCGUCCCCAUUAUCCCCAUUUUCUCCCCAUUAUCCCCAUUU
rnacentral:lncRNA from 1 species